UAGCAAUACAGGGAGCUAGGCGUGGCGAACGGGUGAGUAACGCGUGGACAACCUGCCCGCGAGUGGGGGAUAACUCCGGGAAACUGGAGCUAAUACCGCAUAACGUCCCGAGGUCGUCGGAUCUUGGGAUCAAACCCGCAAGGGGCUCACGGAGGGGUCCGCGUCCGAUCAGCUAGUUGGUGAGGUAAUGGCUCACCAAGGCGGAGACCGGUAGCCGAUCUGAGAGGAUGGUCGGCCACACUGGGACUGAGACACGGCCUAGACUCCUACGGGAGGCAGCAGUGGGGAAUAUUGCGCAAUGGGCGAAAGCCUGACGCAGCAACGCCGCGUGAGUGAUGAAGGCUUUCGGGUCGUAAAGCUCUGUCAAGGGGAAAGAAGUGUAUUGCAGCUAAUAUCUGCGAUACUUGACGG
rnacentral:rRNA from 2 species